CCUACGGGGGGCUGCAGUCGAGGAUCUUCGGCAAUGGGCGCAAGCCUGACCGAGCGACGCCGCGUGCGGGAUGAAGGCCUUCGGGUUGUAAACCGCUGUCAGGGGGGAUGAAAUCAUGGUGGGUACUCCCAUCAUGUUGACAGAGCCCCAGAGGAAGCGCGGGCUAAGUUCGUGCCAGCAGCCGCGGUAAUCCGAACUGCGCGAACGACAUUCGGAAUCACUGGGCUUACAGGGAUCGUAAGUAGCAUGUGAAAUGCCUUGGCUCAACCAAGGCACAGCGCUCUAAACUACUUUGCUUGAGUGAGUCAGGGGUGCACGGAACUUCCGGUGGAGCGGUGAAAUGUGUUGAUAUCGGAAGGAACACCGGCGGCGAAAGCGGUGCACUGGGGCUUAACUGACACUGAGGCACGAAAGCCAGGGGAGCGAACGGGAUUAGAUACCCGAGUAGUC
rnacentral:rRNA from 1 species